UAAGGGGUUAUACUGAAGAUUAUAUGUGAAGAUUUUAUGGGAUUAGCAGAAAUAUUGUGUUGAAGUGUUGUUUUACUAACGAGGACAUAAUUGUUCUUUUACACGUUUAUGUAUAGGGAAAUUGUUAUGAUGGUCAGGGUUGUGCAUCUAGGGCUUUCCACUGCACUGUAUCCGAUACAGGCCAGCCUCACCGAGGCUGGCCUGAUAGUUGGCCUGAUAGUUGGCCUGGCCUAAGCCUCUAUGCUAAGUCUCACAUAGUUUGCACUGUACUUGUACUGAGUUUACCCGAUUGUUGAAUGGAUCGCAAUAAAGACUUUCAACCUACA